rnacentral:rRNA from 1 species
GACGAACGCUGGCGGCGUGCUUAACACAUGCAAGUCGAACGGGCCUGCCUGGCUUUGGUUGGGUGGGUGAGUGGCGAACGGGUGAGUAACACGUGAGUAACCUGCCCUCUUCUCUUGGAUAACUGCUUGAAAGGGCGGCUAAUACGGGAUGUUCUGGCUGCCUCGCAUGGGGUGGUUUGGAAAGAUUCGGCCUGGUUUUGGUUGUUUUGGUGGGGGAUGGGCUCGCGGCUUAUCAGCUUGUUGGUGGGGUGAUGGCCUACCAAGGCGGUGACGGGUAGCCGGCCUGAGAGGGUGGACGGUCACACUGGGACUGAGACACGGCCCAGACUCCUCGGGAGGCAGCAGUGGGGGAUUUUGCACAAUGGGCGCAAGCCUGAUGCAGCGACGCCGCGUGAGGGAUGGAGGCCUUCGGGUUGUGAACCUCUGUCGCCGGUGAUGUAGGCUCUGCUUUGUGGGUGGGGU